UAUAUGAAGGUGUAUAUAGUUUAGCCUGCUCACUGAUUAUAUUAAAGAGCCGCAGUAUUCUGACUGUGCGAAGGUAGCAUAAUAAAUUGUCUUUUAAAUGAAGGCUUGAAUGAAAGGUUGGACAAAGUAUCAUCUGUUUCUUAAAUAUUUAUUGAAUUUGACUUUCAAGUGAAAAGGCUUGAAUAAAUUAAAAAGACGAUAAGACCCUAUAAAUCUUUACAAUAAACAUGUUCUAUAUUUUAAUUUAUAAUUGUAUAAGAUGUUAAAUUUGUGAUUGUUUCGCUGGGGCGGCGUAGAUAUAUAAAUAAACUGUCUAUAUAUUAAAUCCAAUAAUUAUUGAUUAAUAAAAUUGAUCCUUAAAUAGAUUAAAAGAUUAAGAUACUUUAGGGAUAACAGCGUUAUUUUUUUUGAGAGUUCUUAUCGAAGAAAAAGUUUGCGACCUCGAUGUUGAAUUAAAGUAUCUCUAUGGUGUAGCCGCUAUAAGAGAAAGUCUGUUCGACUUUUAAUACUUUACGUG
rnacentral:rRNA from 1 species